GACGAACCGAGCGAACGUUGUUCGGAAUCACUGGGCUUAAAGGGCGCGUAGGCGGGUGCUCAAGUCCGGGGUGAAAUCCUCCAGCUCAACUGGAGAACUGCCUCGGAUACUGGGUGCCUCGAGGGUGGUAGGGGUAUGCGGAACUAUCGGUGGAGCGGUGAAAUGCGUUGAUAUCGAUAGGAACUCCGGUGGCGAAGGCGGGAUACUGGACCACAUCUGACGCUGAGGCGCGAAAGCCAGGGGAGCAAACGGG
rnacentral:rRNA from 1 species